rnacentral:miRNA from 1 species
UGAUGAUGAUGAUGAUGAUGAUGAUGAUGAUGAUGGUUCUAAUGAUCAUCAUCACAAUUGUCCUCCUCC